rnacentral:lncRNA from 1 species
CAUGAUCUUAAGGCUUGUAAGAUCAAGCCCCAGCAUGGAGCCUGCUUAAGAUUCUCUCUCCCCCUCUCCCUCUGUUUCUCCCCACUCUCUCUCUCUCUCUCUCUCUCUCUCUCUCUCUCUCUCUCUCUCAGAAGAAAGAAAAGUCCAUUUUUGUAGGCAAGAAACAAUUGAAUAUUGGCAAUUUUAAAUGGUGCAACCUGAUAAUAACACAGGCCAUUGAGAUCUGAGAUGAGUUUCAGUGCCGUCAGGCAGAGGGCUUGCAGAGGCAUUACAGUCACAGCAUGGCCUUGGCUACCUGUGCUAAAUGAAAGUGGGAAAAAAAACAAGGAAAACAAAAACAAUGAAUGAUGGCAACCUAUCCUAUUUCUCAUUUCAGUUCUUAUGAACUCUAAUUUGGUUUCAUCAUUUCUGGUUUAGGUAAAGGGCAGAUUAUAGAAAUAUAAAUUAUAGAGGAUGGGCUGUUCACAGGCAUUUGUAUUCCUACAGAAGUAUACGUGCAUUUGAAGCUUCAGAAGACCUGGGUUCUCCAUCACAUGCCCAUUUCUUAUUUUUCAAGCACUCAGCAGUGUCUCCUACUAUGUAAACCUCGGAAAUCCUCCCAGAUGAUUUUAACACACCAUCUUCUUUUUCUCAGUAACAGAAGUACAAGACGGAUGAUGUCUUCAUUUCAUCUUUCCUCCAAUCUACUAUGGAAACCUGCCAUACCUACUAUCUCACCCAGCAUUUAUUCCUGACAAUCAAGGCCAAAUUGAAAAGGUUGGUUCCUGCUCACUUGGGAAAGGAGA